UCCACCGAUUGACUAAGGUUUCCAGAGGAAGGCUCGUCCGCUCUGGGUUAGUCGGGUCCUAAGCUGAGGCCGACAGGCGUAGGCGAUGGAUAACAGGUUGAUAUUCCUGUACCACCUAUAAUCGUUUUAAUCGAUGGGGGGACGCAGUAGGAUAGGCGAAGCGUGCGAUUGGAUUGCACGUCUAAGCAGUAAGGCUGAGUAUUAGGCAAAUCCGGUACUCGUUAAGGCUGAGCUGUGAUGGGGAGAAGACAUUGUGUCUUCGAGUCGUUGAUUUCACACUGCCGAGAAAAGCCUCUAGAUAGAAAAUAGGUGCCCGUACCGCAAACCGACACAGGUAGUCAAGAUGAGAAUUCUAAGGUGAGCGAGCGAACUCUCGUUAAGGAACUCGGCAAAAUGACCCCGUAACUUCGGGAGAAGGGGUGCUCUUUAGGGUUAACGCCCAGAAGAGCCGCAGUGAAUAGGCCCAAGCGACUGUUUAUCAAAAACACAGGUCUCUGCUAAACCGUAAGGUGAUGUAUAGGGGCUGACGCCUGCCCGGUGCUGGAAGGUUAAGAGGAGUGGUUAGCUUCUGCGAAGCUACGAAUCGAAGCCCCAGUAAACGGCGGCCGUAACUAUAACGGUCCUAAGGUAGCGAAAUUCCUUGUCGGGUAAGUUCCGACCCGCACGAAAGGCGUAACGAUUUGGGCACUGUCUCAACGAGAGACUCGGUGAAAUCAUAGUACCUGUGAAGAUGCAGGUUACCCGCGACAGGACGGAAAGACCCCGUGGAGCUUUACUGUAGCCUGAUAUUGAAAUUCGGCACAGCUUGUACAGGAUAGGUAGGAGCCUUUGAAACGUGAGCGCUAGCUUACGUGGAGGCGCUGGUGGGAUACUACCCUAGCUGUGUUGGCUUUCUAACCCGCACCACUUAUCGUGGUGGGAGACAGUGUCAGGCGGGCAGUUUGACUGGGGCGGUCGCCUCCUAAAAGGUAACGGAGGCGCUCAAAGGUUCCCUCAGAAUGGUUGGAAAUCAUUCAUAGAGUGUAAAGGCAUAAGGGAGCUUGACUGCGAGACCUACAAGUCGAGCAGGGUCGAAAGACGGACUUAGUGAUCCGGUGGUUCCGCAUGGAAGGGCCAUCGCUCAACGGAUAAAAGCUACCCCGGGGAUAACAGGCUUAUCUCCCCCAAGAGUUCACAUCGACGGGGAGGUUUGGCACCUCGAUGUCGGCUCAUCGCAUCCUGGGGCUGUAGUCGGUCCCAAGGGUUGGGCUGUUCGCCCAUUAAAGCGGUACGCGAGCUGGGUUCAGAACGUCGUGAGACAGUUCGGUCCCUAUCCGUCGUGGGCGUAGGAAAUUUGAGAGGAGCUGUCCUUAGUACGAGAGGACCGGGAUGGACAUACCUCUGGUGUACCAGUUGUCGUGCCAACGGCAUAGCUGGGUAGCUAUGUGUGGACGGGAUAAGUGCUGAAAGCA
rnacentral:rRNA from 1 species